GAUGAACGCUGGCGGCGUGCCUAAUACAUGCAAGUCGAGCGAACAGACGAGGAGCUUGCUCCUCUGACGUUAGCGGCGGACGGGCGAGUAACACGUGGAUAACCUACCUAUAAGACUGGGAUAACUUCGGGAAACCGGAGCUAAUACCGGAUAAUAUAUUGAACCGCAUGGAUCAAUAGUGAAAGACGGUUUUGCUGUUACUUAUAGAUGGAUCCGCGCCGCAUUAGCUAGUUGGUAAGGUAACGGCUUACCAAGGCAACGAUGCGUAGCCGACCUGAGAGGGUGAUCGGCCACACUGGAACUGAGACACGGUCCAGACUCCUACGGGAGGCAGCAGUAGGGAAUCUUCCGCAAUGGGCGAAAGCCUGACGGAGCAACGCCGCGUGGGUGAUGAAGGUCUUCGGGUCGUAAAACUCUGUUAUUAGGGAAGAACAAAUGUGUAAGUAACUAUGCACGUCUUGACGGUACCUAAUCAGAAAGCCACGGCUAACUACGUG
rnacentral:rRNA from 1 species